rnacentral:rRNA from 1 species
UGCAGUCGAGCGGACAGAUGGGAGCUUGCUCCCUGAUGUUAGCGGCGGACGGGUGAGUAACACGUGGGUAACCUGCCUGUAAGACUGGGAUAACUCCGGGAAACCGGGGCUAAUACCGGAUGCUUGUUUGAACCGCAUGGUUCAGACAUAAAAGGUGGCUUCGGCUACCACUUACAGAUGGACCCGCGGCGCAUUAGCUAGUUGGUGAGGUAACGGCUCACCAAGGCGACGAUGCGUAGCCGACCUGAGAGGGUGAUCGGCCACACUGGGACUGAGACACGGCCAAAACUCAUACGGGAGGCAGCAGUAGGGAAUCUUCCGCAAUGGACGAAAGUCUGACGGAGCAACGCCGCGUGAGUGAUGAAGGUUUUCGGAUCGUAAAGCUCUGUUGUUAGGGAAGAACAAGUGCCGUUCAAAUAGGGCGGCACCUUGACGGUACCUAACCAGAAAGCCACGGCUAACUACGUGCCAGCAGCCGCGGUAAUACGUAGGUGGCAAGCGUUGUCCGGAAUUAUUGGGCGUAAAGGGCUCGCAGGCGGUUUCUUAAGUCUGAUGUGAAAGCCCCCGGCUCAACCGGGGAGGGUCAUUGGAAACUGGGGAACUUGAGUGCAGAAGAGGAGAGUGGAAUUCCACGUGUAGCGGUGAAAUGCGUAGAGAUGUGGAGGAACACCAGUGGCGAAGGCGACUCUCUGGUCUGUAACUGACGCUGAGGAGCGAAAGCGUGGGGAGCGAACAGGAUUAGAUACCCUGGUAGUCCACGCCGUAAACGAUGAGUGCUAAGUGUUAGGGGGUUUCCGCCCCUUAGUGCUGCAGCUAACGCAUUAAGCACUCCGCCUGGGGAGUACGGUCGCAAGACUGAAACUCAAAGGAAUUGACGGGGGCCCGCACAAGCGGUGGAGCAUGUGGUUUAAUUCGAAGCAACGCGAAGAACCUUACCAGGUCUUGACAUCCUCUGACAAUCCUAGAGAUAGGACGUCCCCUUCGGGGGCAGAGUGACAGGUGGUGCAUGGUUGUCGUCAGCUCGUGUCGUGAGAUGUUGGGUUAAGUCCCGCAACGAGCGCAACCCUUGAUCUUAGUUGCCAGCAUUCAGUUGGGCACUCUAAGGUGACUGCCGGUGACAAACCGGAGGAAGGUGGGGAUGACGUCAAAUCAUCAUGCCCCUUAUGACCUGGGCUACACACGUGCUACAAUGGGCAGAACAAAGGGCAGCGAAACCGCGAGGUUAAGCCAAUCCCACAAAUCUGUUCUCAGUUCGGAUCGCAGUCUGCAACUCGACUGCGUGAAGCUGGAAUCGCUAGUAAUCGCGGAUCAGCAUGCCGCGGUGAAUACGUUCCCGGGCCUUGUACACACCGCCCGUCACACCACGAGAGUUUGUAACACCCGAAGUCGGUGAGGUAACC